GAUGAACGCUGGCGGCGUGCCUAAUACAUGCAAGUCGAGCGAACAGACGAGGCUUUUGCUCCUCUGACGUUAGCGGCGGACGGGUGAGUAACACGUGGAUACCCUACCUAUAAGACUGGGAUAACUUCGGGAAACCGGCGCUAAUACCGGAUAAUAUAUUGAACCGCAUGGUUCAAUAGUGAAAGUCGGUUUUGCUGUCACUUAUAGAUGGAUCCGCGCCGCAUUAGCUAGUUGGUAAGGUCACGGCUUACUAAGGCUACGAUGCGUAGCCGACGUGAGAGGGGGGUCGGCCACACGGGAGCUGAGACACGCACCAGACUCCUACGGGAGGCAGCAGUAGGGUACCGUCCGCAAAGGGCGAAAGCCUGACGGAGCAACGCGGCGUGAGUGGUGAAGGUCUUCGGAGCGUGAAACCCUGUUAUUAGGGGAGAACAAAUGUGGAAGUAACUAUGCACGCCUUGACGGUACCUAAUCAGAAAGCAACGGCUAACUACGUG
rnacentral:rRNA from 1 species